AAGCAGGCAGAGAUGGAGGUUCGCUUCCUGAGAGAAGAGAAGACCUGUACAGAGAAGGAAGCCCACAUGCUUGAGUUGAGGGGGAAGGAUCAAACGAUCCGAAAUCAGAAGAAGGAGACGGACAGACUUCAAGUGUGCCUGUGGGAGGAGGAAAAGAAGAAGAGGAAUGGUGGAACGGAGAAGGACAAGAUCAUUGAACAACUACAGUCUGAGACAGACCAUCUCAGAGCCCUUUUAGAAGAAGAGUAGAAAGGGGUAUAAUGAAAGAGUGGAAAGCUGAGUCAGAGAGCCAGAGGGAGUCAGAGAGGGAGUCAGAGAGGGAGGCAGAGAGGGAGGCAGAGAGAGCCACAGAAUGGGAGGAGAACCAGAGAAAAAUGCAGAUCAACAGACUCAAACAACUGCUGGAUCUACUGAUGGUGGACCUACAACUGGCCCACUCAGAGAGAGAGAGAAGAUAAGAGGCAACGAAAAGAGAGGAGAUGGAAGAAGAGGAAAGAAGGGAGAUCCUUGAGUACAAGAGGGGUGACUUAGAGGAGAAGGAAGAUGACAAGGAGGACAUUCUCCCACCUGACAAAAGUAUCCGAAGGAGAGCUGUGGGCUGGAUAAAUAAGAAGUGGGAGAAGAGGAACCUCAGAAAGAUAGAGAGAACGUAUCAGAGAGAGGCUGAGGAGGGCUAUAAGAUCGUCCACAUAGAACCAGCAGGAGGGGCCAGAGAACCAACAGGAGGGGCCAGACAGCCAGCAGCUUGAAGCUCCAGAAGAGAUUGAAACAUCAGAGCCAAUCUCCAAGAACAAGAAAAAGCCAAGCAUCUGGAAGAAAAUUAGGAUGGGGUAAAGAAUGUUUAAACAUCUAUUCAUGUUUUACACUGUUAAUAUACAUGUUGUCACUUUAAAAAGUGACGUUAUCCAAAUGUGAGGGUUUAGUGUACAUGCAACACACAUGU